UACGAAGGGUGCAAGCGUUACUCGGAAUUACUGGGCGUAAAGCGUGCGUAGGUGGUUCGUUAAGUCUGUCGUGAAAGCCUCGGGCUCAACCUGGGAAUGGCGAUGGAUACUGGCGGGCUAGAGUGCGGUAGAGGGUGGUGGAAUUCCCGGUGUAGCAGUGAAAUGCGUAGAGAUCGGGAGGAACAUCAGUUGCGAAGGCGGCCACCUGGACCAGCACUGACACUGAGGCACGAAAGCGUGGGGAGCAAACAGG
rnacentral:rRNA from 1 species